rnacentral:ncRNA from 20 species
GAGUUUCUUGGGAACUAUGACAUCAACUCUUUAUCUGGGCAUCUUAGAGUUGAUUGAGUUAGUGAUGCAACCGACCUUGAAGAAA